GACGAACGCUGGCGGCGUGCUUAACACAUGCAAGUCGAACGAAGUGGCGAACGGGUGAGUAACGCGUAAUCAACCUGCCCUUCAGAGGGGGACAACAGUUGAAAACGACUGCUAAUACCGCAUACUGAAGGUGGGGAUGGCGUCUGAUUGGCUAGUUGGAGGGGUAACGGCCCACCAAGGCGAUGAGCAGUAGCCGGUCUGGGAGGAUGAACGGCCACAUUGGGACUGAGACACGGCCCAGACCCCUAAGGGAGGCAGCAGUGGGGAAUUUUCCGCAAUGGACGAAAGUCUGACGGAGCAACGCCGCGGGAGUGAUGACGGCCUUCGGGUUGUAAAGCUCUGUUAAUCGGGACGCGGUACCGGAAUAGAAAGCCACGGCUAACUACGUGCCAGCAGCCGCGGUAAUUC
rnacentral:rRNA from 1 species